ensembl:lncRNA
AUGAAGAAUAAACACCAACCUCCUUGUUCCUCGUGUUUUAUUUCUGGUUCCUCGUGUUGUAUUCUCCAGGUUUCUGGUUCCUCGUGUUUUAUUCUCCAGGUUUCUGGUUCCUCGUGUUUUAUUUCUGGUUCCUCGUGUUGUAUUCUCCAGGUUUCUGGUUCCUCGUGUUUUAUUUCUGGUUCCUCGUGUUGUAUUCUCCAGGUUUCUGGUUCCUCGUGUUUUAUUCUCCAGGUUUCCGGUUCCUCAUGUUUUAUUCUCAACAUUUCUGGUUCCUGGUCUUUUAUUGUACAGGUUUCUGGUUCUUCGUUUUUUAUUCUCCAGGUUUCCGGUUCCUCGUGUUUUAUUCUCAACAUUUCUGGUUCCUGGUCUUUUAUUCUCCAGGUUUCUGGUUCCUCGUCUUUUAUUGUGCAGGUUUCUGGUUCCUUGUCUUUUACUCUCCAGGUUUCCGGUUCCUCGUGUUUUAUUCUCAACAUUUCUGGUUCCUGGUCUUUUAUUGUGCAGGUUUCUGGUUCCUGGUCUUUUAUUGUGCAGGUUUCUGGUUCCUCGUCUUUUACUCUCCAGGUUUCCGGUUCCUCGUGUUUUAUUCUCAACAUUUCUGGUUCCUCGUCUUUUAUUCUCCAGGUUUCUGGUUCCUCGUGUUUUAUUCUCAAAAUUUCUGGUUCAUCGUCUUGUAUUGUGCAGGUUUCUGGUUCCUCUUGUUUUAUUGUGCAGGUUUCUGGUUCCUCGUGUUUUAUUUCUGUUUCCUCUUGUUUUAUCGUGAAGGUUUCUGGUUCGCUCGUGUUUUCUUCUCUCUCCGAUUUUACAAACUCCAUCUUCACAGCAGCAGAUCUCAGUUCAGAUGAUAAACUCCUCCAGAUAUUCCUGCUCGCUUCAAAACUCAGUCACGACUGUGAGGACGAGAAUAUUACAGGCAAAUUGCAUUAGUGUGCGUAAAGGGACGGAGCUACCACCAAUACAGAAAUACACAGAGUGCUGCAGCCGGUAUCACUGCCCGCUGUGCAAUUCAAACACAGUGGGGUACUGUGGAAACAGAAGACGUGGAGACCUGCGAGGGUUUUAUAGAGACCCUGAAUUUCCUGAGCAUUGCCCAGACUGCCAGUUUUAGGGGGCAGGAAUGAGGUGUGGUGUGCACAGUGUGCAAUAGUUUAUUUGGAACUGUUCAUGUUUUAUUUCCUCUUGAAAUAGGGACUUCCCCCACAACCUUAAGGAGCCUGACUGUGGCAUCUUCAUUCUGAUGGUCAGAUUUGACAAAUUGUACUAAUUAGAUUGUGUAAUUUCCAAUAAAUAUUGCAAAACCAUGAAGUGUUUAUUUGAUCUGGAUUGUUUGGUAAAUUGUAUGAUCAUGUGAAUCUACGUAUAUUUUAAAAACAGAAGUGGUUACAUUUACAAAAAAUAAAUAAAAAAUAAGGAUUGAAUAUCCAAAUGGGCAAGGCAAAAAACUGUGGUCAAUUAACAUGUACAAGUCUGUUGUAUUGACAAAAUGUCAUAGUCCAUUGAUCUAGGCUGAAUUUAAGUCACAAAAAAUAGUGAUAUGAUCUGAACAAUAUAUAUUUUCAUGGUGGUUCUUGUGAAUGCAGUUUGCAUGAAUUAUUGAUGUUAUAAUAUUAAGUGUAUUAUUGAGAAUUGUUUUAUGUAAAGAGAUAUGAUAAAGAUAAUAUUUCAAUUUGCACACAGUUUUUAUAUUAUAUAUUUUAAGUCAUAAAAGUAAAAUGACAAUACGGAAAAGACGUGUGCAAUUAAGCCUGCAAAGAAUGCUGUCUAUCCACUGGUGAAAACAGAAAAUAAAUAUGCUGUCUAUCCUUAUGUGAAACUAUAAAAUAAAUGUGUCUAUCCAGAGGUGAAAAUAUAAAAUAAAUAUGUUGUCUAUCCAGAGGUGAGAACUAAAUAUGCUGUCUAUCCAGAGGUGAAAAUAUAAAAUAAAUAUAUGUCAAUCCAGAGGUGAAAAUAUAAAAUAAAUAUACUGUCUAUCCAGAGGAGAAAAUAUAAAAUAAAAAAAUGUCAAUCCAGAGGUGAAAAUAUAAAAUAAAAAAAUGUCAAUCCAGAGGUGAAAAUAUAAAAUAAAAAAAAUUCAAUCCAGAGGUGAGAACUAAAUAUGCUGUCUAUCCAGAGGUGAGAACUAAAUAUACUGUCUAUCCAGAGGUGAAAAUAUAAAAUAAAUAUACUGUCUAUCCAGAGGUGAGAACUAAAUAUGCUGUCUAUCCAGAGGUGAAAAUAUAAAAUAAAUAUAUCUCAAUCCAGAGGUGAAAAUAUAAAAUAAAUAUACUGUCUAUCCAGAGGUGAGAACUAAAUAUGCUGUCUAUCCAGAGGUGAGAACUAAAUAUACUGUCUAUCCAGAGGUGAAAAUAUAAAAUAAAUAUACUGUCUAUCCAGAGGUGAGAACUAAAUAUGCUGUCUAACCAGAGGUGAGAACUAAAUAUGCUGUCUAUCCAGAGGUGAGAACUAAAUAUACUGUCUAUCCAGAGGUGAAAAUAUAAAAUAAAUAUACUGUCUAUCCAGAGGUGAGAACUAAAUAUGCUGUCUAUCCAGAGGUGAAAAUAUAAAAUAAAUAUACUGUCUAUCCAGAGGUGAGAACUAAAUAUGCUGUCUAUCCAGAGGUGAGAACUAAAUAUGCUGUCUAUCCAGAGGUGAAAAUAUAAAAUAAAUAUGCUGUCUAUCCAGAGGUGAGAACUAAAUAUACUGUCUAUCCAGAGGUGAAAAUAUAAAAUAAAUAUACUGUCUAUCCAGAGGUGAGAACUAAAUAUGCUGUCUAACCAGAGGUGAGAACUAAAUAUGCUGUCUAUCCAGAGGUGAAAAUAUAAAAUAAAUAUACUGUCUAUCCAGAGGUGAGAACUAAAUAUACUGUCUAUCCAGAGGUGAGAACUAAAUAUGCUGUCUAUCCAGAGGUGAGAACUAAAUAUGCUGUCUAUCCAGAGGUGAGAACUAAAUAUACUGUCUAUCCAGAGGUGAGAACUAAAUAUGCUGUCUAUCCAGAGGUGAAAAUAUAAAAUAAAUAUACUGUCUAUCCAGAGGUGAGAACUAAAUAUACUGUCUAUCCAGAGGUGAGAACUAAAUAUACUGUCUAUCCAGAGGUGAGAACUAAAUAUGCUGUCUAUCCAGAGGUGAAAAUAUAAAAUAAAUAUACUGUCUAUCCAGAGGUGAGAACUAAAUAUACUGUCUAUCCAGAGGUGAGAACUAAAUAUGCUGUCUAACCAGAGGUGAGAACUAAAUAUACUGUCUAACCAGAGGUGAGAACUAAAUAUGCUGUCUAUCCAGAGGUGAAAAUAUAAAAUAAAUAUGCUGUCUAUCCAGAGGUGAGAACUAAAUAUGCUGUCUAUCCAGAGGUGAAAAUAUAAAAUAAAUAUAUGUCUAUCCAGAGGUGAAAAUAUAAAAUAAAUAUACUGUCUAUCCAGAGGUGAGAACUAAAUAUACUGUCUAUCCAGAGGUGAAAAUAUAAAAUAAAUAUACUGUCUAUCCAGAGGUGAGAACUAAAUAUGCUGUCUAUCCAGAGGUGAAAAUAUAAAAUAAAUAUACUGUCUAUCCAGAGGUGAGAACUAAAUAUGCUGUCUAUCCAGAGGUGAAAAUAUAAAAUAAAUAUACUGUCUAUCCAGAGGUGAGAACUAAAUAUGCUGUCUAUCCAGAGGUGAAAAUAUAAAUAAAUAUGCUGUCUAUCCAGAGGUGAGAACUAAAUAUGCUGUCUAUCCAGAGGUGAGAACUAAAUAUACUGUCUAUCCAGAGGUGAAAAUAUAAAAUAAAUAUGUUGUCUAUCCAGAGGUGAGAACUAAAUAUGCUGUCUAUCCAGAGGUGAAAAUAUAAAAUAAAUAUAUCUCAAUCCAGAGGUGAAAAUAUAAAAUAAAUAUACUGUCUAUCCAGAGGUGAGAACUAAAUAUACUGUCUAUCCAGAGGUGAGAACUAAAUAUACUGUCUAUCCAGAGGUGAAAAUAUAAAAUAAAUAUACUGUCUAUCCAGAGGUGAGAACUAAAUAUGCUGUCUAUCCAGAGGUGAAAAUAUAAAAUAAAUAUACUGUCUAUCCAGAGGUGAGAACUAAAUAUACUGUCUAUCCAGAGGUGAGAACUAAAUAUGCUGUCUAUCCAGAGGUGAGAACUAAAUAUGCUGUCUAACCAGAGGUGAGAACUAAAUAUGCUGUCUAUCCAGAGGUGAGAACUAAAUAUGCUGUCUAUCCAGAGGUGAGAACUAAAUAUGCUGUCUAUCCAGAGGUGAGAACUAAAUAUGCUGUCUAACCAGAGGUGAGAACUAAAUAUGCUGUCUAUCCAGAGGUGAGAACUAAAUAUGCUGUCUAACCAGAGGUGAGAACUAAAUAUACUGUCUAUCCAGAGGUGAAAAUAUAAAAUAAAUAUACUGUCUAUCCAGAGGUGAGAACUAAAUAUGCUGUCUAACCAGAGGUGAGAACUAAAUAUGCUGUCUAUCCAGAGGUGAGAACUAAAUAUACUGUCUAUCCAGAGGUGAAAAUAUAAAAUAAAUAUACUGUCUAUCCAGAGGUGAGAACUAAAUAUGCUGUCUAUCCAGAGGUGAAAAUAUAAAAUAAAUAUACUGUCUAUCCAGAGGUGAGAACUAAAUAUGCUGUCUAUCCAGAGGUGAGAACUAAAUAUGCUGUCUAUCCAGAGGUGAAAAUAUAAAAUAAAUAUGCUGUCUAUCCAGAGGUGAGAACUAAAUAUACUGUCCUAUCCAGAGGUGAAAAUAUAAAAUAAAU